GGGGGACGGUUGACCGGAAUGAUUGGGCGUAAAGCGCGCGCAGGUGGUUCCUUAAGUCCUGAUGUGAAAGCCCACGGCUCAACCGUUGGAGGGUCAUUUGGAAAACUGGGGAGCUUUGAGUCGCAGAAGUGGAAAGUGGAAUUCCAAGUGUAGCGGUGAAAUGCUUAGAGAUUUGGAGGAACACCAGUGGCGAAGGCGACUUUCUGGUCUGUAACUGACACUGAGGCGCGAAAGCGUGGGGAGCAAACAGGAUUAGAUACCCUGGUAGUCCACGCCGUAAACGAUGAGUGCUAAGUGUUAGAGGGUUUCCGCCCUUUAGUGCUGCAGCUAACGCAUUAAGCACUCCGCCUGGGGAGUACGGCCGCAAGGCUGAAACUCAAAGGAAUUGACGGGGGCCCGCACAAGCGGUGGACAUGUGGUUUAAUUCGAAGCAACGCGAAGAACCUUACCAGGUCUUGACAUCCUCUGACAACCCUAGAGAUAGGGCUUUCCCCUUCGGGGGACAGAGUGACAGGUGGUGCAUGGUUGUCGUCAGCUCGUGUCGUGAGAUGUUGGGUUAAGUCCCGCAACGAGCGCAACCCUUGAUCUUAGUUGCCAGCAUUCAGUUGGGCACUCUAAGGUGACUGCCGGUGACAAACCGGAGGAAGGUGGGGAUGACGUCAAUCAUCAUGCCCCUUAUGACCUGGGCUACACACGUGCUACAAUGGAUGGUACAAAGGGCUGCAAACCUGCGAAGGUAACGAAUCCCAUAAAGCCUUCUCAGUUCGGAUUGCAGCUGGCACUCGCCUGCAUGAAGCCGGAAUCGCUAGUAAUCGCGGAUCAGCAUGCCGCCGGUGAAUACCGUUCCCGGGCCUUGUACACACCGCCCGUCACACCACGAGAGUUUUUGUACACCGAAGUCGGUGAAGUAACCUUCAUGGAGCCAGCCGCCUAAGGGUGGACAGAUGAAUUGGGGUGAAGUCGUAACAAGGUAGCCGUAUCGAAAGUGCGUGAAAAACCCCUCCUAUAUAAGGGGGAAG
rnacentral:rRNA from 1 species